UACAGAGGUCCCAAGCGUUGUUCGGAUUCACUGGGCGUAAAGGGUGCGUAGGCGGUCGGGUAAGUCUGGCGUGAAAUCUCCAAGCCUAACUUGGAAACUGCGUUGGAUACUAUCCGGCUCGAGGAAUGGAGGGGAGACUGGAAUACUUGGUGUAGCAGUGAAAUGCGUAGAUAUCAAGUGGAACACCAGUGGCGAAGGCGAGUCUCUGGACAUUUCCUGACGCUGAGGCACGAAAGCCAGGGGAGCAAACGGG
rnacentral:rRNA from 1 species